rnacentral:tRNA from 2 species
UGCGGGUUGGGGAACUGGCAUCCCACUUGGUUCAUACCCAAGAGACAGGCGGUUCGAUUCCGUCACCCGCUA